UACGUAGGGUCCGAGCGUUGUCCGGAAUUAUUGGGCGUAAAGGGCUCGUAGGCGGUUUGUCGCGUCGGGAGUGAAAACACGGGGCUUAACCCCGUGCCUGCUUCCGAUACGGGCAGACUAGAGGUAUGCAGGGGAGAACGGAAUUCCUGGUGUAGCGGUGAAAUGCGCAGAUAUCAGGAGGAACACCGAUGGCGAAGGCAGUUCUCUGGGCCGUAACUGACGCUGAGGAGCGAAAGCGUGGGGAGCGAACAGG
rnacentral:rRNA from 1 species